AUCACAGUACUGCCUACAUCCGAUCAUGCGCAAUGGUUCUUCAUUUGAGUUGAAGGGCUGCUUUUGCGACCACUGACCCGUUUGAAAUUCUGUUGGCUGACCUUCAAGUCUGUGUUAGUCAUCCUUGUCCUUUGAUCUUGGAGCUUAACGUGGUUUCAGUCACAUAUGGUCAGUUUCAAUAUUAUUUCUUAUCUAAUGUACAGGAACAUCCAGUCAUAAGAGCAAAGAACUGUAAAGCUUAUGAGUAACUACCUCUACUCGUUAAUUACUUGGCUACACUUUUGUCUACUGUUUCAAUCAUAGUGUUAGUAUAAGAUUUCUAAUAAUUAUUUGCCAAAUCUCACCUUUACAGUCAUCUAGCAGCAAACCAGUUUCCAGGGCUGGUACAAAAUAUUAAACCCAUAAAAAUAUUUAGACAUACCAUACAGAAUGUAUGGACAUAUGCUAUCAAUUCCCUCCUUUCUGUUUGAGGCUACUAAUUCUUUUAGUAGUCUCACUUGAACUAGAUCGUGUCACAGCUCAUUUAAGACAGCCAAAAGCGACACAGAUUAUAACAAUGAUGAUAACUACUUCUCUUGCUUUCUUGGUGAGACAAGGGAAAGCCUCAGGCCACCCAGCAAAGGUAUCAACUAGAACUAGGAUAUAUCGAUAUCCUUCUUUUUGAGGCAAUUCUGUAAAAUCAAUUUGCCAAUAUUCUCCUGGAGAAUUUCCUUGCUUAGUAAUUCCAAAAAUGAUUUUAUUACUGGUUUGGGGAUUAUUGCGUAUACAAAUUUCACAUCUAUUUGUAAUUGUUCGAAUAAUUUUUGUCAUAUCUUUAUUCAAAAUACACUUUUGUAAAUGUUUAACAAGGUUUUCUGUUCCCCAAUGUAUUUUGUUACGUUCCGCUUAGGCAAUUUCUCUCAUUAUUGCAAGUGGGAUUAUUAUUUGACCUGUCGGUGUUACAGCCCAUCCUGUCUCAUUUUUGUUAGCCUGCAAUUUAAUAAUUAAUUCUUCAUCUUUUUUCAUUAUAAUUUGGAGCUUCUUUAGGCAAAUUUACACUUUUCUCUGGAACUAGUGCUAGGAUGCCUUUUUCUACACCCUCUUUAGCAGCUUAUCAGCCAAUUGGUUACCUGUUUCAGGAACUGUCUUACCUAACUGAUGUGCUUUACAGUGCAUUACCACGACUGCUGUUGGCUUUUGAACGGAUUCUAACAAUUUCAGUAUUUGUUCUGCAUGCUGAAUGGUGGUUCCUUGUGCAGAUAACAGUCCUCUUUCUUUCCAUAUUGCUCCAUGUGCAUGUACUACUCCAAAAGCAUACUUUGAGUCUGUCCAAAUGUUGACUUGCUUUCCUUGACUUAGUUCCAGUGCUCGAGUAAGAGCUAUCAAUUCAGCUUUUUGGGCAGAUACAUUCGAAGGCAAAGCUCGUGAUUCAAUUACCUUCUCAGCAGUGGUUACCGCAUACCCUGAUAAACAUUUUCCUUCACGGAUGAAACUGCUUCCGUCGGUAUAUAGUUCCCAAACUGUUUCUUCCAGUGGCACAUCUCGGAGAUCUGGUCGGCUGGAGUAAUCUUCUUCGAUUGUCUGCAAGCAGUCAUGUUCCAGUUCUCCUUCAACUUGAUCAGUUGUUAAAGACACAGCAGGGUUAACGAUGGUAGUAGUUUUUAAGUAAACAUCAUCUUGCUCCAGCUACACCACUUGGUAUUUCAGCAUUCUACUAGUGGGUAACCAAUGCCCCCCUUUCUGUUCUAGCACGGUAAUUACCAUAUGGGGAACAUACACAGUAAUUCUUUGUCCUAAGGUGAACUUACGAGCUUCUUGGAUCAAUAGCACAGUUGCAGCGACGAUUCUCAGACAACCAGGCCAUCCCAGACUCACAUUAUCUAAUUGCUUCGAGAAGCUUGCCGACUUGGUCCCAGAUAUUGGGCCAGGACACCCAGAGCUAUACCCCUUCUUUCAUGAGUAAAAAGUUAAAAUGUCUUUGUGAGAUCUGGCGGGCCUAGGGCUGGCACCCCCAUUAGAGCCUGUUUCAGUUCUUUGAAAGCAGCUUUCCCGGCAUCAGUCCAAUCUAUAAACCCAUUGUUUGACUUUUUGAGCUGCUCGUAUAAAGGUCAGACCAGCAAGCCAUAAUUUGCAAUCCACAGGCAACACCACCCAACCAUUCCCAGAAAGGCUCGCAAUUCUUUUAGAGUCUUAGGUUCAGGGGAGACGACAAAUUGCCUCUUUUCUCUCAGUUCCUAAUUGUCUCUGUCCUUUUAGGAUUUCAAAACCCAAAUAAGUUACUUCUUUCUGGGUUAUUUGGGCUUUUUCUUUUGACACUCGAUAUCCACUGAUUCCCAAAAAGUUCAAAAGGCUAAUAGUUAACUUUGUGCCUUGUUCUUCUGUCUCAGCUGCAAUUAACAGAUCAUCAACAUAUUGCAACAAGAUUCCUUGAUUAUUGCCUUUCUUCCAAAUCCCUAAUUCUCAUGCCAAUUGAUUUCCAGAAAUGGUAGGACUAUUCUUAAAGCCUUGAGGCAAGACUGUCCAUGUAUAUUGUGUUUUUCUCCCAGUCUCAGGAUUUUCCCAUUCAAAAGCAAAAAGCUCUUGACAUUGGGCUCCAAGGGAAUACAGAAAGAGGCAUCUUUUAAGUCUAACAUUGUGAACCAUUGUUGUUUCUCUGUUAGGGUUGUUAAUAAAGUAUAAGAGUUCGCUACUACUGGAUGAAUAUCUUGUACUAUUUGAUUUAUCGCUCUGAGGUCUUGAACUAAUCUGUAAUCUUUUCCAUUAGCCUUUUUAACAGGCAAGAUCGGGGUGUUAUAUUUGGAUUCACAUUCUAUUAACAAUUUGUACUUUAGAAAUUUUUGUAUUAUCGGUACUAACCCUUUCCGACUUUCCAGUUUUAGGGCGUAUUGUUUAAUUCGUACCAGACUCGAUCCUGGCUUUAAAUCAAUUCUCACAGGUUCUGCUCUUUUGGAUUUACCAGGAACUUCCCCAGCCCAGACGAUUGGAAUUACAGCAUUAUUUACUUCGACUGGUAUGAUCUUCUGCUUUCAGUAAUUGUCUUGUAACAACAAAGCCACUGCUUCAAUACGUUUAGUUUCUGGAAGUAAAAUUUUAAUCUCUCAAUUUUUAAAUUUAAUUUCUCCUUCCAAUUUCUCAAGUAGGUCUCUCCCUAACAGGGCUUUAGGAGAAUUUGGCAAAUACAGAAACUGAUGAGUGACCCAUUGCUUUCCUAAUUUCAUUGCCAAAGGUUUGAAGAAGGGUCUAGUCUCUUGUUCACCUGUCGCACCAACAACACUAAUUUCCUCAGAACUUAAUUCCCCCUCUAAGGUAUUUAAAACUGAAAAGGUGGCUCCAGCGUCAACUAAACAUUCAAUUUUCUGUUCUCCCAGGUUAGCUGUAACCCAAGGUUCUGCCUCCCCUCCAGUCCCCGUCAAAUACUUUCACUCAACUUUCCCAGAAAAGGGGGAACUUGCUGAGGUUGCGCGGUUGGAAUUGGGAUCACUUGUGACCCUGUAGGUCUCAAGGGGCGUUCCCAUUUCCAGUGUCCUUCUUGUUUAUAGUACGCACACUGAUUUGGUCCAAGGGGCUGAUAUAAUCCCACUGGCGAGCCCAAUCCAGUUCCUCUUCCUCGCCCCAUUCCUCGACCAUGUCCCCUUCCUCGGAGGGUAACUCCUCUGCCUUGUCCUAUGCCAGCUCCUACUUCUAGAGCAGCCACUAACCUUGCAUUCAUUUUACUCUGUAAUUCAUCUCUAUUUCUGUAUACCACCCAAGCAACCUCUAAUAAUUUCCCCCAAUCUCGAGAAUCUGCUCCUUGUAAUUUUUGUAAGUUUCUUUUGAUAUCAUCAGAGGAUUGUCCUAUAAAUAAUGGAGCCAAUUGAGCUUUUCCUUCUUCAGACUCAGGAUCCAGAUUAGUAUAUUUCUUAGCAGCUUCUUUUAAUCUACUCAGAAAUUGAGUGGGAGACUCUCUUCUAUUUUGUUUAAUUUCAUAUAAUUUAGACAUGUUAAUUGCCUUAGGCAUAGCAGUUCUGAUUCCGAAUAGAACCCAUUUUUGAUACUGAUCUAACAGUCUUCUCUGAGCCAAAUUAUUAGGAUCCCAUCUGGGUUCUGUAGAUGGAAAAUUUUGUUCCACUGUUCCUUGUAAUACUCCAGAAGCUACUUGUGCUUCUACCUGGGUUUUAGCAACCCUCUGGAUCAUAUCUCUUUCUGCACUAUCAAAAAGUACUUCCAUUAUUACUUAUAUAUCUUUCCAAUCAGGAUCCUGAGUCUGAAUCAUUGUUUCAAAAGCAUGGGCUGUUUGAUCACGGUUUUCCUGAUAGCUCCCAGCUUCUAUUUUCCAAUUAUUUAAAUCCACAAUAGAAAAGGGUACUUUAAUAGUUGCCACACCCUCAGUCCCAAGCGCCUGAUGAAGAGGAGCUUGAAUAACUUCGCUCUGUUUAGCUCUUGUUCGCCCUGUGACAGGACUAUUCAUGGGCUCUCUUUCAUCACUACUUCUGGGAACAGCUCUAGGUGGGGCUUUUUGAGAUCCAAUUAUCAUUUCAGUAUCAUCCUCUCAUUCUUGCUUGUAUAACUUUAAACAUCUUUGCCCAAUACUACAUGCAGAACAACACCUUUUGAGCUUAUUGUCAACUUUUUUAUUUCUUUCUUUUUCUAAAGAUAACACAAAAGGAUUGCUGGGUGGUAUAUUAAUUCCACAAUCCUUUUGCCGGCUCAGGAUGAUUCUUUAAGGUAAAGAACAAAUUACAAUACAUAACUUUAUCCCAUUUUUGCUCACAUCUCAAGAAUAACGUAAGUUGUAACCUGGCGUUAUAAUUUAGCAUCCCAUUCACAGGCCACUUCUCCCCUUCAUUGAGCUUAUACAAAGGCCACCAAUGAUUAUAAUAUUUAAUCAAACCUCUCUGCAUGUUGCCACCUGGAACACUCCCAGCUGUUUCCAGUGUUUCAAAGUGCACCCCAAAGGUGAUUUUUUAGGGAUUUCACUUGAUUGCCCUGUUCCCAUUAUCAGUACCUUCAAUAUACAGAAAUAAAAAAUCGGAAAGCCAAAUAUCAGAGCCUAAGUCAAAGUACCAAGCAGAGUUAGUCAGAGAUCUAAGGUCAAAUCCAAAAUCAAUAAUCAAAUCCCAAAGCCUUAAUCAAAGUACCGAAUAGAGCAAUUCUCAGAAACUAAACCAGAUGGGUAUCUCUGUCUUCAAUCAGCGAGUCAACUACCCUUUAUCAGUAAAGUACUUCUACCAGAAUGCCAGAUUUUUAAGGAUCCUUUUGCAUUUCUUCCUUGCUGUCUUCUCUUAGUCAGGCUUACAGGUAAGAGUACCAGACAGAAUAUCAGACCAGAAUACCAGAACCAGGUUAAUCAAAAGAAUGCCUUUGAAUAAAAUCUUACCAGUGGCCUUGGCUUGUGAGCCUGGGGAACGGGGGAUCAAGGGUCUGCCCGAGAAAUCUCAGUGCCAGCUGGAAGUCCUGCGAUCACGUGUCCGUCAAGUCUCAGAAGCCUUGUCCCAUCUGGGUGCCACUAGAAAGAAAAUUAACUCUAUCCCAGCUGAAACCAGGACACUGGCUAAUGCUUGAGGCUCUCCAUGUUAUUCCUACCAUCUUGACUGGCCGUUCUUGUUCUUUGUUGCUGCUUUAUAGUGAGUGCCUUUUGCUCUGUAAGCAGCAGUACUCGGGCCGUGGGAGCCUACCGUCUCCCAGCUGCUGGGAAGUCUCUCUGCCAAAGGCAAAGAGCAAAACAGCCACGGCACAAUCUACAGCAAUUCUGCCUCUCGAGGAACCCAGCAGGCCCCUUUCUCUCACCUCUCACUCUGUCCAGCGAGGCUGGAAAGUGCGGUUGUUGCAGAAACUGCUACGCCCUGUGCCUCCUUCUCAGGUUGUUAGCCUGGCCCUGUGUACAGGCUGCUGAGGUGAUCGAGUCUGUGAUACUAGAUGUUUUACAUCUUGUGUUAAGAAAAGAACACAGUGGCUUUGUUAUACUGACUAGUGGUGGAUAAGAAAUCCUGUAUGUUGCAAAAUGUGUAAGAUACCAGAGAAAAUUACUUCUGGCCGACCUUGCAAAUUCCCUGAGAAGAUAAAGCCCUUAGGCCCUUUUCAGCUAACUUAGCUUAGAGUGUCAAUAUGGUUUGUGACAAAAGAAUGUAAAUCAAGAAAAGGUAGGUAGUAGAGUUACUAACGAACGUUCUUUAGGUUAAGUUGUAUCAAACAUGUAAAGUGUCCCACUGCGGAGAAUCACUAGAAGAGGGUCAGCUAGCGGAGAAGUGAGGAAGACUAUUGAAGACCUCCAGAGGACCCUUGAAGACCACGAAAGAUUUCGAGUGCGCCUGUGCCAAGGACAUUUACAUAUAUUGAUGAGCUCCUGGAAUUCAGAUGAGCAGCAAAGUGCAACCGUGACACUUGCUGGCAGGAGCGGCAAGGAGUGCGGAGCCUCGCUCCUGUACGGAGCAAAGAUGGAACCUUCAGGGCUCUACAGUCAUCUACUGAGGACAUCUAAUAU